CGCCGAUGCCCGCGGCGUGGGAGAAACGGAAGCGGAAGCGGCGGGGACGAGGCGCAGCGAGGCUCAAAAGACUUUGGAGCGAAAGCCUUUUAACUUCAGAAACAGGGAAAAGACAAGAAAGAUGAUUUCUAUCUCUUCUUUCCUGAGAGCCACAGAAUACUGAAGCGGAGCUACUUGACUACCAGAGGACACCAUACCCAUCAGAUAACAAAUCUAGAGAUUCAGAGUGAGUUGAGAGUCAGCUCUGCCAUUGGGCAUUGAGUUAUAGAGAAAUAUGGGUUGAGAGAUCAUAGCCAAGCAAUUUACAGAAGAGGAAACUGAGGCACAAGGGAGGAGAAAAUGACUCAAGUGCUCAAGGUCACAGAGGGAACACGUGGCAAAUGCUACUUGGACUUGGGUCUCGACUCCAGGUCCAGUGAUGUAGAACCUGCUUUAGGCUGUCUGUAUCUUGUUUGUGAGCAUUUGUUUGCGUGUUGUCUCCCUGUUAAAUUGGGAGCUCUUUGAGGGUAGAAACUGAGUGCAUUCCUUCUUCUAUAUCCCUAUGACUUAGCACUGUGCCUGAUUGUAUGUACUUAGGAAGUAUUUUUUUUUUCCCUCAAUAGUAUUUUAUUUCUCCAAAUAUAUCAAAGAUAGUUUUCAACGUU